UACGGAGGAUGCAAGCGUUAUCCGGAAUGAUUGGGCGUAAAGCGUCCGCAGGUGGCUAUGUAAGUCUGCUGUUAAAGAGUGAGGCUCAACCUCAUAAGAGCAGUGGAAACUACAUAGCUAGAGUGCGUUCGGGGCAGAGGGAAUUCCUGGUGUAGCGGUGAAAUGCGUAGAUAUCAGGAAGAACACCGGUGGCGAAAGCGCUCUGCUAGGCCGCAACUGACACUGAGGGACGAAAGCUAGGGGAGCAAACGGG
rnacentral:rRNA from 1 species